AGAACGAACGCUGGCGGCAUGCCUAACACAUGCAAGUCGAACGGAUGGGUUUCGGCCAUCAGUGGCGCACGGGUGAGUAACGCGUGGGAAUCUGCCCAGCAGGUGGGGGAUAACCUCUGGAAACGGAGGCUAAUACCGCAUACGCCCCGUCGGGGGGAAAGGCUUGCUGCUGCUGGAGGAGCCCGCGUCGGAUUAGGUAGUUGGUGGGGUAACGGCCUACCAAGCCUGUGAUCCGUAGCUGGUCUGAGAGGAUGAUCAGCCACACUGGGACUGAGACGACCGGCCCAGACCUCCGUACGGGGAGGCAGCAGGUGGGGAAUAGUUGGACAAUGGGGGCAACCCUGAUCCAGCAAUGCCGCGUGAGUGAUGAAGGCCUUCGGGUUGUAAAGCUCUUUCGCCCACGACGAUGAUGACGGUAGUGGGAGAAGAAGCCCCGGCUAACUACGUG
rnacentral:rRNA from 1 species